UUAAGUUCAGCGGGUAAUCCUGCCUGAUCUGAGGUCUAAUCUAAAAAUUUGACUUUUGAUCGGUUUAGAAGCUUCUACCUCGAAAUUCGGCCACCAGCAAGCUAGUGUCCUCAGCGAAUAGUCUAUUACGCCGAGUCAAUCCAAAUUGUCGAAAUUGAGUUGCUAAUGUAUUACGAAUGAGCUUCGCCCCGAAGGACCAG
rnacentral:misc_RNA from 1 species